rnacentral:rRNA from 1 species
UACAGGGGGUGCAAACGUUGCUCGGAAUCAUUGGGCGUAAAGCGCACGUAGGCGGGUCGUUAAGUCAGGGGUGAAAUCCCGGAGCUCAACUCCGGAACUGCCUUUGAUACUGGCGACCUUGAGGCUGGAAGAGGUUAGUGGAAUUCCCAGUGUAGAGGUGAAAUUCGUAGAUAUUGGGAAGAACACCAGUGGCGAAGGCGGCUAACUGGUCCAGAUCUGACGCUGAGGUGCGAAAGCGUGGGGAGCAAACAGG